rnacentral:lncRNA from 1 species
GUCUGGACAGCUAUGUGAUCCUGACUUGUUUUAAUGCAACACUGAGGUCAGAGAAAGCACCAGUUUCUUGAAACCACCUGAGUGAUCCAAGAGGAAAUUGAGGCAAAGAAACUUGGAGGUGUUGGAACACAGUGCUGACCCUCCUAGAAACUUCCUUUGUGUCCCAGCCAAGGGUUUUUCAGCCUCCACCCCACCAUUCAGCUCUGGGUGACACUGGGGACCCACACCACUGACUGGAGCAGGAGGUACACCUUAGCUUUCAACUCAAAAUGUGACAUUUAUCUUCAGAGAGACUCCAACACAUGCACUGGCACGUUCUUGCACUGCAUCUGUGCAGGCAAGGAACUGUGGGGCAGAAAUUCCAGAGUGUUUGAAUAAAAGCUUGGUGGAG